rnacentral:rRNA from 1 species
GUCUUGCAGCAGCGUGCCGGCGCGGAUGAGGAGACCACCCCACUCUCCGGCGAUCGGCCCUUCUUCAUCGUCGUCACGUGCAAGACCCACAUCCAGAAGCCCUAUCUGCUGAUAAUCCCGGCUAACUUCUAGCACCGGCUGCAGGCGAGGCGCACGCCAGUGGUGCUCCGGUGCCGUGGGAGCUCAUGGAUCAUCAGCUACUGUGGCCACACCAAGCUGAAGAACCUCGACGCGGGCUGGGCGGACUUCGCCGUCGACAAGCGGCUGCAGGUUGGAGAUGCGCGUGUGUUCGACCUGGUGUCCAGGGAUGCCGAUUGCGGCAAGUGGAAGGUGGUGCUGGAGGUGCAGGUGCUUCGAGGUGGUGGCCUGCCGGAGCCCGAGGAUCUUGGCACCAAAGGAGACACCGCCGAUGAGCCCAUCACCAUCAUGGACUAG